UUGGCCCUGAAUGAAGGCCAUUGGCUUGCUGUAGCUAUUGGUUUCAAGCAGGAGCCCAAAGAAAUGCCUUCCUGUGGUCUGUUGGCUGUUCUAGUGUCUCUAAAGGGAACAGCCAAUUCAGUGAGAAGCAACAAGC
ensembl:snoRNA small nucleolar RNA SNORA2/SNORA34 family